rnacentral:rRNA from 1 species
UACGUAGGCAGCAAGCGUUGUUCGGAUUUACUGGGCGUAAAGAGUAUGUAGGCGGUUGUCCAAGUCUGGUGUGAAAUCUCCCGGCUCAACUGGGAGGGUGCGCCGGAUACUGGAGAGCUUGAGCGUGGGAGAGGAAAGCGGAAUUCCUGGUGUAGCGGUGAAAUGCGCAGAUAUCGGGAGGAACACCAAUGGCGAAGGCAGCUUGCUGGGACGGUACUGACGCUGAGGCGCGAAAGCGUGGGGAGCAAACAGG